rnacentral:piRNA from 1 species
UGCAUUGAGCUUUUGGUAACCUGAUGGAGU